CUGAGUGGUGUUCUGUUGGGUGAACAUGUUAUCUGUCCCCCUGCUCACGGGCCACUCGGGAUGGAGCUGCUCUGGUCCCUCAGAUGCAGACGUCCUCUGUGUAGACACACGCUCUCACUGCUCUCUGACACGUCGUGCAAACUGUACUAUGUCGACGUCACCCAGGGCCCUUCAUCUCAGAGAGAAAACAGAUGAGACAUUAGUGACAAGCUGUCAGGAGGGAAUCCUCCACUUUUCAGGACAACUCAGCAAAUACACGAGAAGGACUUGCUGCCCACGAAACAGCGGUGAUGCUCAGGCACCAAAGCCUAAGCCCAGGAGGAGAAGUAUUUCAAGCCCCCUAACACUCGGCAGGAUCUCAAGAGCAGAGCGUCUAGAGUCAGACUUCCUGAUUUCUUUCUCCGGACCUCACGGCUUCUGGCUGGGUGACCUUGAACUGGUCCCCUCACCUCUGUGAGCCUUACUGUCCUCUUGAGUUGUCAUCGUUGUUUGGUUGACAAGUCGUGUCCGACUCUUUGACCCCAUGGACUGCAGCCCACCAGGCUCCUCUGUCCGUGGGAUUCUCCAGGCAAGAAGAUUGGAGAGGGUCGCC